UUAAGCGACUAAGCGUACACGGUGGAUGCCCUGGCAGUCAGAGGCGAUGAAGGACGUGCUAAUCUGCGAAAAGCGUCGGUAAGGUGAUAUGAACCGUUANCACUAUCGUUAACUGAAUACAUAGGUUAACGAGGCGAACCGGGGGAACUGAAACAUCUAAGUACCCCGAGGAAAAGAAAUCAACCGAGAUUCCCCCAGUAGCGGCGAGCGAACGGGGAGCAGCCCAGAGUCUGAAUCAGCUUGUGUGUUAGUGGAACGGUCUGGAAAGUCCGACGGUACAGGGUGAUAGUCCCGUACACCAAAAUGCACAGGCUGUGAACUCGAAGAGUAGGGCGGGACACGUGGUAUCCUGUCUGAAUAUGGGGGGACCAUCCUCCAAGGCUAAAUACUCCUGACUGACCGAUAGUGAACCAGUACCGUGAGGGAAAGGCGAAAAGAACCCCGGCGAGGGGAGUGAAAAAGAACCUGAAACCGUGUACGUACAAGCAGUGGGAGCACCUUCGGGUGUGACUGCGUACCUUUUGUAUAAUGGGUCAGCGACUUAUAUUCUGUAGCAAGGUUAACCGUAUAGGGGAGCCGCAGGGAAACCGAGUCUUAACUGGGCGUUAAGUUGCAGGGUAUAGACCCGAAACCCGGUGAUCUAGCCAUGGGCAGGUUGAAGGUUGGGUAACACUAACUGGAGGACCGAACCGACUAAUGUUGAAAAAUUAGCGGAUGACUUGUGGCUGGGGGUGAAAGGCCAAUCAAACCGGGAGAUAGCUGGUUCUCCCCGAAAGCUAUUUAGGUAGCGCCUCGUGAAUUCAUCUUCGGGGGUAGAGCACUGUUUCGGCUAGGGGGUCAUCCCGACUUACCAACCCGAUGCAAACUACGAAUACCGAAGAAUGUUAUCACGGGAGACACACGGCGGGUGCUAACGUCCGUCGUGAAGAGGGAAACAACCCAGACCGCCAGCUAAGGUCCCAAAGUCAUGGUUAAGUGGGAAACGAUGUGGGAAGGCACAGACAGCCAGGAUGUUGGCUUAGAAGCAGCCAUCAUUUAAAGAAAGCGUAAUAGCUCACUGGUCGAGUCGGCCUGCGCGGAAGAUGUAACGGGGCUAAACCAUGCACCGAAGCUGCGGCAGCGACACUAUGUGUUGUUGGGUAGGGGAGCGUUCUGUAAGCCUGCGAAGGUGNUGCUGGAGGUAUCAGAAGUGCGAAUGCUGACAUAAGUAACGAUAAAGCGGGUGAAAAGCCCGCUCGCCGGAAGACCAAGGGUUCCUGUCCAACGUUAAUCGGGGCAGGGUGAGUCGACCCCUAAGGCGAGGCCGAAAGGCGUAGUCGAUGGGAAACAGGUUAAUAUUCCUGUACUUGGUGUUACUGCGAAGGGGGGACGGAGAAGGCUAUGUUAGCCGGGCGACGGUUGUCCCGGUUUAAGCAUGUAGGCUGGUUGUCCAGGCAAAUCCGGAUAAUCAAGGCUGAGGUGUGAUGACGAGGCACUACGGUGCUGAAGUAACAAAUGCCCUGCUUCCAGGAAAAGCCUCUAAGCAUCAGGUAACAUCAAAUCGUACCCCAAACCGACACAGGUGGUCAGGUAGAGAAUACCAAGGCGCUUGAGAGAACUCGGGUGAAGGAACUAGGCAAAAUGGUGCCGUAACUUCGGGAGAAGGCACGCUGGUGUGUAGGUGAAGNUGGAGCUGAGACCAGUCGAAGAUACCAGCUGGCUGCAACUGUUUAUUAAAAACACAGCACUGUGCAAACACGAAAGUGGACGUAUACGGUGUGACGCCUGCCCGGUGCCGGAAGGUUAAUUGAUGGGGUUAUCCGUAAGGAGAAGCUCUUGAUCGAAGCCCCGGUAAACGGCGGCCGUAACUAUAACGGUCCUAAGGUAGCGAAAUUCCUUGUCGGGUAAGUUCCGACCUGCACGAAUGGCGUAAUGAUGGCCAGGCUGUCUCCACCCGAGACUCAGUGAAAUUGAACUCGCUGUGAAGAUGCAGUGUACCCGCGGCAAGACGGAAAGACCCCGUGAACCUUUACUAUAGCUUGACACUGAACAUUGAGCCUUGAUGUGUAGGAUAGGUGGGAGGCUUUGAAGCGUGGACGCCAGUCUGCGUGGAGCCAACCUUGAAAUACCACCCUUUAAUGUUUGAUGUUCUAACGUUGGCCCCUUACCGGGGUUGCGGACAGUGUCUGGUGGGUAGUUUGACUGGGGCGGUCUCCUCCCAAAGCGUAACGGAGGAGCACGAAGGUUAGCUAAUCCUGGUCGGACAUCAGGAGGUUAGUGCAAUGGCAUAAGCUAGCUUGACUGCGAGCGUGACGGCGCGAGCAGGUGCGAAAGCAGGUCAUAGUGAUCCGGUGGUUCUGAAUGGAAGGGCCAUCGCUCAACGGAUAAAAGGUACUCCGGGGAUAACAGGCUGAUACCGCCCAAGAGUUCAUAUCGACGGCGGUGUUUGGCACCUCGAUGUCGGCUCAUCACAUCCUGGGGCUGAAGUAGGUCCCAAGGGUAUGGCUGUUCGCCAUUUAAAGUGGUACGCGAGCUGGGUUUAGAACGUCGUGAGACAGUUCGGUCCCUAUCUGCCGUGGGCGCUGGAGAAUUGAGGGGGGCUGCUCCUAGUACGAGAGGACCGGAGUGGACGCAUCACUGGUGUUCGGGUUGUCAUGCCAAUGGCACUGCCCGGUAGCUAAAUGCGGAAGAGAUAAGUGCUGAAAGCAUCUAAGCACGAAACUUGCCCCGAGAUGAGUUCUCCCUGAGACUUUAAGUCUCCUGAAGGAACGUUAAAGACGAUGACGUUGAUAGGCCGGGUGUGUAAGCGCAGCGAUGCGUUGAGCUAACCGGUACUAAUGAACCGUGAGGCUUAACCUU
rnacentral:rRNA from 1 species